AUUGAACGCUGGCGGCAUGCCUUACACAUGCAAGUCGAACGGUAACAGGUCUUCGGAUGCUGACGAGUGGCGAACGGGUGAGUAAUACAUCGGAACGUGCCCGAUCGUGGGGGAUAACGGAGCGAAAGCUUUGCUAAUACCGCAUACGAUCUACGGAUGAAAGCAGGGGACCGCAAGGCCUUGCGCGGACGGAGCGGCCGAUGGCAGAUUGGGGAGUUGGUGGGAUAAAAGCUUACCAAGCCGACGAUCUGUAGCUGGUCUGAGAGGACGACCAGCCACACUGGGACUGAGACACGGCCCAGACUCCUACGGGAGGCAGCAGUGGGGAAUUUUGGAAAAUGGGCGCAAGCCUGAUUCAGCCAUGCCGCGUGCAGGAUGAAGGCCUUCGGGUUGUAAACUGCUUUUGUACGGAACGAAAAGACUCUGGUUAAUACCUGGGGUCCAUGACGGUACCGUAAGAAUAAGCACCGGCUAACUACGUGCCAGCCGCCGCAGUAAUAC
rnacentral:rRNA from 1 species